GAUGAACGCUGGCGGCGUGCCUAAUACAUGCAAGUCGAGCGAACGGACGAGAAGCUUGCUUCUCUGAUGUUAGCGGCGGACGGGUGAGUAACACGUGGAUAACCUACCUAUAAGACUGGGUUAACUUCGGGAAACCGGAGCUAAUACCGGAUAAUAUUUUGAACCGCAUGGUUCAAAAGUGAAAGACGGUCUUGCUGUCACUUAUGGAUGGAUCCGCGCUGCAUUAGCUAGUUGGUAAGGUAACGGCUUACCAAGGCAACGAUGCAUAGCCGACCUGAGAGGACGAAGGGCAACAGGAGGAAAGAGAGAGGGCGGGGAGAACGCAGGGAGGAAGAAGGAGGGAGGAGUCAGAAAGGGGAGAAAGAAGGAAGGAUCAAAAAUGAGGGAGUAAGGAAGGUAUAAGGAACGUAAAACACUGUGAUGAGGGAAGAAAAGAAGGGCAAGUAAAAAUGCAAGGAUGAAAGGGAAAAAAUAAGAAAGAAAAGAACAAGGAAAGG
rnacentral:rRNA from 1 species